CACGAGUGUCAUUACCGUCGAGUGCAAGGCGCUACCGGCGGUGGACGACGCCGCUUGGCUAAGUGAUUUCUCAACAACAGCGUGAGUGUGUUUGUGGACAGUGAAGAUGCGCCGCACGGUGGCAAGAAUAAUAUAUCGUAUCGAUUGUGAACGUGCAUCGUGGGAGUGAGGACAUGGAGUGAGGGCCCUGAGGUUCUUCCGGUUGAAUUGUGACACGGGACUUUAAAGUCUGUGUGUCGGUGUUUGGUCAAACGAGUGCAUCAGGCGACAUGGACAUUGCGGUCGUUGUGAUGCUAAAGAAUAUGGCCCACCACGGGAUGUAGAGCGCUGUGGACGGAUAGAGAAUGGCAAAAGGUCCACUAGGCGAACUAUCAAGAAGGCAGUGAGACAGAGACGUACGAAGCGGGCGGCCAAGUCACGGAUGCAAUUAUGUGCACUCACUGUGAAUAGAAGGCGAGUACGUGAUUUCGCAGUUUAUCGCACUGCCAUAUAAAUUUAUCACCCAGACACCCACACAUACCGACACAUACCAGACGGCUGACGGAGUGUGUGGCCUUGGGUCCUUUAGGAGAUUGUGCCCCGUUGCACUGAAGUUUAAAACGUACGUUUCUAUGUCGAUGUCUAGCUUGGGAUACUUUACUUUACAUGUACGUCAUCAAUGAUUAUUCGAUCGUAAAAUAGACACUCACAGAGUGCCUUCACACCAACAAACACGCUCGCUGCAAAGGGUAAGUGCCUCCGAAGCCACCCGGAAACCAGCUUUGACGAAAGCUUUUAGUCAAAUCCGUUAUUAUUAUGCCAAUGCCAAGCGGAAUGGCGUCUUCAUAGGACAUUUUUUCACAUUCUCGCACCACCCCCCACAUCGGUCCUUUUCUCUCCGUAUCUCCCUAUCAUCGGUGAUAUGCAUUGAGUUUUAUGUGGGUGAUGACGAACGGGGCAGAACAUGGAAGAAAAGGAAGUAUAAAUCCUUUCGUUCGCUGCAUUCGAUGCAACCACGACGACGAUGACGACGACGUCCGUAAGCCGCCAGCCGACAGCCGAAGCGGAAAAGUUUGGUUCCGCGCUUCACGACCUGUCUCCCCAAUUUUCAGAUACCUGCUAAGGGAGAGACGAUACCUUGUGGGUGCGCUUCAACCAAUUCCGCCGAAGAGAGCAAACAAAGGGGCAGCAAGGACGGUGGAAAUGAUGGAAACUAAAAAUGGAAAGCCUUCGUCAGAAUUCUGGGGCAUCCCCUGCUUCCCGUCCACCGGUGUGCACGGUUCACGAAAACUUUCAACUUAA